rnacentral:rRNA from 1 species
CCUACGUGAGGCAGCAGUGGGGAAUAUUGGGCAAUGGGCGCAAGCCUGACCCAGCAAUGCCGCGUGAAGGAAGAAGGCUUUCGGGUUGUAAACUUCUUUGACAGGGGAAGAGCAGAAGACGGUACCCUUAAAACAAGCCACGGCUAACUACGUGCCAGCAGCCGCGGUAAUACGUAGGUGGCAAGCGUUGUCCGGAUUUACUGGGUGUAAAGGGCGUGUAGGCGGGGAGGCAAGCCAGAUGUUAAAUCUGGAGGCUCAACCUCCACAUUGCAUGUGAAACUGUUUUUCUUGAGUACUGGAGAGGCAGACGGAAUUCCUUGUGUAGCGGUGAAAUGCGUAGAUAUAAGGAGGAACACCAGUGGCGAAGGCAGCUUACCAAUCUAUAUCUGACGUUGAGGCACGAAAGCGUGGGGAGCAAACAGGAUUAGAUACCCCAGUAGUC